ACUUGCGGAGGAUCAUUA
rnacentral:rRNA from 1 species